CAGUAGCCGCGGGAAUACGGAGGGUGCAAGCGUUAUCCGGAUUUAUUGGGUUUAAAGGGUCCGUAGGCGGACUUAUAAGUCAGUGGUGAAAGCCUGUCGCUUAACGAUAGAACUGCCAUUGAUACUGUAAGUCUUGAGUAUAUUUGAGGUAGCUGGAAUAAGUAGUGUAGCGGUGAAAUGCAUAGAUAUUACUUAGAACACCAAUUGCGAAGGCAGGUUACCAAGAUAUAACUGACGCUGAGGGACGAAAGCGUGGGUAGCGAACAGGAUUAGAUACCCCUGUAGUCCCUGUCUCUUUACA
rnacentral:rRNA from 1 species